CUUCUCCUUGGCCCCACAGCCUCAAGAUUUGCAUGUUAAAUCCUAGGUCAUUAGUUUCUCAUCAGUAGACUUUGUAAGGCUAGAAAUGUUAGCCUUUGGUUUUCAGUUUUCAUUUGAGAGGGAAAAAAAAUCAGAACUUCCUCUUAUGCAAGGAGUGUCAUGCCGAGCUGAGCAGAGCAACAUUUCUAAUGAGAGGAUAAGGGCUAAAAAUUCUCCUGCAGCCUUCCUGGAGACAGAAUGCAGCCAAGCUGGAGCACGGAGCUGGGUGCCCCUUCCUCCCCAGGCGGAUGCUAAUGGACGCACAAGGAGGAAGGCACAGAGUCUCGAUGCUGGUAUAUAGAUGGGGGAUGUGGGUGAAGGAGACUUAAUGAAAGGAACGCCUUGAUCUGCUCUGUGCUCACACUGAAAACUAUGACUUUUUGGUAGAAAGAUUUGCAUAGUGUUGGUAAUUGUCGAUGAGGUAUUUUCAGGAAAAUCUAACGUAUUGUGAAAAUGUUUGCAGAGUGUUUCCUUCAAACUGCCUGGGUACAGCUUCUAGAGUCCUGGAGUAGAAGGGAAGUGGGCAGGACUCCUGAGCAAAGAGAUCAUGGUCCUUCUGGUCACCCACUCUCUGGCUCAUGCCUGAACACGAUGCUAAAUGAGCAUGGUGCCCCCUGUGCAGUAAAACUUCAUUUUUACAUAACAUUUAAAAUAAUGAAAUAUUCAAAUAGGAAAAAUGGCUGACUGGUUCUUAGGAGAUGUUUACACUUAUUGGUGCUUGUGUAGCUGACUAUUGUAAAAUGGAUAAAAGAAGGGAAACGGACAUUUUCUCUCAUUGCUCACCAGUAUUUCUUCUUUUACUAAGUUUAUAAAAACAAUAUUACCUCUGUUUUCCCAAAAGUCUAUUUUGUACUUAUCUUACUACAUUGUGGUUGAAUGAUCUAUAUUAAUAAAGCAUAUUGUAAAUUUUACAAUGAUAUCAGCAUAAUAGCUAGGCUUAAAUACUAUUAAAAGCAGAAUAAGAAAGGAUUUUGCUAAAAUUAAUGGACUGAAUCUAAUUUACAUUUCUAUUACCAAGGCUAAUUGUAAGAGCUCCCACCUUGAUUAGAAUCUUUAGUAAACAAAAAUAUGCUCAGAUUUUAUGAGUGUUUGAAUUUCUGAUGUAUUACAGGAAAUUAGACUUGACCAAGCCAUUCGUCUGUUCAAAUCAAGCGUGGAAAAUUGAACUUUAUUGAACAGGUACAAAUUAAAGAAUAUGGUCCUAGGUGUGCACACAUAAAUGAUAUUUUAAUUACAGAUACUGGAUUUAAAUAUCAUUCACACUAAAAUGCAUUAAAACUGGUCAAGAUCUCUCAGUAAUCUACAAAUGAAACACACAUUUACACUGCUGUUUUUGUUUUUUACCUGGAAGACAGGCUCUCAAGACUUCUGCAACACACACCAGUCUCCUGGAGAACUUGUCCGAAUAUGGCUGCUAGGCCCCAUUCCUAGACUUUCUGCUGCAGUGGAUACAGGUGGAGGCCAGAGCUGGAAACUACCGACUACCCCACUGACAACGAUGCUGUUGGCAGUCACGGUGCAUUUGGAAUCACUGUCUAUCAGUCCACUUGACUGAACUUGGAGGAGUAGUCGUCGCAUAUUCAACCAAACAGCAGUGGAUGGUAGACAAGAGAAUCCAGAAUCAUCUACCUCUUGUGGCUGGACAGUCAGCAACUAAAAAACCCUAUCUUCAUCCCUGAUAUUCAGCUUUUCCAAAAUCUUUGAAAUGGAAUUUUGACCGGUUUUCCUUUCUAUUAUCUCCAGAAGAUUCAUAGCUAACUAAUAACUUCUGUGUCUGGAAUAUAUAGAACCACUGCCUAACACACUCUGUAACUAAAGAGAACAGAUACAUGUAAUUUCUUAUGGGAACUGGAUCAGCUAAUUAUGGAAUCCAAGAAGAACAGAAACGUUGUAUGUACAAGCUGGAGAACCAGAAGUCUGAGGCCCAGGAACAGUACUUGAUGUAGAGGUGGUACUCUUAGUCUUCAGAACCAGAGUCAGGAACUUUUUAUGUCUAAGGGCAGCAGAAAAUAGAUGUUCCAGCUCAAAGAGGUGGGGGUGGGGAAUGAAUUUGCU